CACAGUGAUUUCACCAAUGUGCUCUCCCAC
rnacentral:piRNA from 1 species